rnacentral:rRNA from 1 species
UACAGAGGUCCCAAGCGUUGUUCGGAAUUACUGGGCGUAAAGCGUGCGUAGGCGGCGGGGUAAGUCGGGUGUGAAAUCUCAGGGCUCAACCCUGAAAUUGCAUUCGAUACUGCUUCGCUUGAGCUCUGAAGAGGAGGUUGGAAUUUACGGUGUAGCAGUGAAAUGCGUAGAUAUCGUAAGGAAGGCCGGUGGCGAAAGCGAGCCUCUGGACAGUUCCUGACACUGAGACACGAAGGCCAGGGGAGCAAACGGG